rnacentral:rRNA from 1 species
ACGGGAGGCAGCAGUGGGGAAUAUUGCACAAUGGGGGAAACUCUGAUGCAGCAACGCCGCGUGAAGGAAGAAGGUCUUCGGAUUGUAAACUUCUGUCCUAGGGGAAGAUAAUGACGGUACCCUUGGAGGAAGCCCCGGCUAACUACGUGCCAGCAGCCGCGGUAAUACGUAGGGGGCAAGCGUUAUCCGGAAUUAUUGGGCGUAAAGAGUGCGUAGGUGGUUACCUAAGCAGGGGGUGAAAGGCACUGGCUUAACCAAUGUCAGCCCCCUGAACUGGGCUACUUGAGUGCAGGAGAGGAAAGUGGAAUUCCUAGUGUAGCGGUGAAAUGCGUAGAUAUUAGGAGGAACACCAGUGGCGAAGGCGACUUUCUGGACUGUUACUGACACUGAGGCACGAAAGUGUGGGGAGCAAACAGGAUUAGAUACCCGGGUA